rnacentral:rRNA from 1 species
UACGGGGGGGGCAAGCGUUGUUCGGAAUUACUGGGCGUAAAGGGCUCGUAGGCGGCCAACUAAGUCGGAUGUGAAAUCCCCAGGCUUAACCUGGGAACUGCAUCCGAUACUGGAUGGCUUGAAUUCGGGAGAGGGAUGCAGAAUUCCAGGUGUAGCGGUGAAAUGCGUAGAUAUCUGGAGGAAUACCGGUGGCGAAGGCGGCAUCCUGGACCGAGAUUGACGCUGAGGCGCGAAAGCGUGGGGAGCAAACAGG